rnacentral:tRNA from 1 species
GAGGGUAUAGCUCAGUGGUAGAGUGCAUGCCUAGCAUGUACAAGGUCCUGGGAUCAAUCCCCAGUACCUCCA